rnacentral:rRNA from 1 species
UUGACCUCGGAUCAGGUAGGAAUACCCGCUGAACUUAAGCAUAUCAAUAAGCGGAGGAAAAGAAACCAACAGGGAUUGCCCUAGUAACGGCGAGUGAAGCGGCAACAGCUCAAAUUUGAAAUCUGGCUCUCGGGCCCGAGUUGUAAUUUGUAGAGGAUGUUUCUGGCGACGUGUCUUCCGAGUUCCCUGGAACGGGACGCCAUAGAGGGUGAGAGCCCCGUCCGGUCGUACGCCUAGCCUCUGUGAAACUCCUUCGACGAGUCGAGUAGUUUGGGAAUGCUGCUCAAAAUGGGAGGUAUACGUCUUCUAAAGCUAAAUACCGGCCAGAGACCGAUAGCGCACAAGUAGAGUGAUCGAAAGAUGAAAAGCACUUUGAAAAGAGGGUUAAAUAGUACGUGAAAUUGCUGAAAGGGAAGCGCUCAUGACCAGACUUGGGCUCGGUGAAUCAUCCGGCGUUCUCGCCGGUGCACUUUGCCGGCCCAGGCCAGCAUCAGCUCGCCUCGGGGGAUAAAGGCUUCGGGAAUGUAGCUCCCUCGUGGAGUGUUAUAGACCGUUGCGUAAUACCCUGGGGCGGGCU